UACGACUACAUAUCAGGCAUAUCAAUAAGCGGAGGAAAAGAAACUAACUAGGAUUCCCUCAGUAACGGCGAGUGAAGCGGGAAGAGCUCAAAUUUGAAAUCUUCAAGGUUUUACCUUGACGAAUUGUAGUUUAAAGAAGUGUUUUCGGUUAGAGGAGUAGUAAAAGUUCUUUGGAAUAGGACAUCAUAGAGGGUGAGAAUCCCGUAUUUGACUAUUCUUUCUAGCUUUGUGAUACACUUUCAAAGAGUCGGAUUGUUUGGGAAUGUAGUCCAAAAUGGGUGGUAAAUUUCAUCUAAAGCUAAAUAUUGGCGAGAGACCGAUAGCGAACAAGUACCGUGAGGGAAAGAUGAAAAGAACUUUGAAAAGAGAGUUAAACAGUACGUGAAAUUGUCAAAAGGAGAAGCGUUUGACACCAGUGCUGUUUCUACGAAAAUCAAUUUAUGAUGGCUUGAUGCUAAGCUUUAAGACUUUAUCCGCUUGUUGUUUAGUUUUCUUGUCUUUGUGAAUGCACUUUUCGUGGAACAAGUCAACAUCAAUUUCUUUUGCUGUAAAAGGGUAAGAGGAAGGUGGCUUCGGCUUCGGUUGAAGUGUUUAUAGCCUUUUAUCUCUGCAGUCGGAGAGAUUGAGGUCUGCAGCGUAGACUCUUCGGGGUUAGAUACGUCGGUGCUAAGCUAUAGCUUUUCAUAGACAACUUGUUGACUAUGUUUAGUCAUGUGGCUUACCCGCUGGCGCUAUUUUACCUACGCUUAGGAUGUUGACUGAUAUGUAGUCGU
rnacentral:rRNA from 1 species